AGUCGCCAGCCGGGCCCAGCAUUGUCCUGCUUUUCCUCUGCUCUGGUCUCUCCGCCCACUGCUCGCGGUCGUGGGGAGGGGUGCGGAUGCGGGCGCCGUGCCCGCGCUGCUCCGGGCCGGCGGCGCACCCCUAGACUCCGUGCCUGCCUGAGCCGGAGUCUACCCCCACCGACCCCGCAGCCGCCGCCCGUCGGGGCCAGGGAGCGUCUUUGCAGCUCUCCCGUCUCCGCACCCGCGCAGGCUGCCUGGGUGCUGAGCUCUUCUUUGUAACUUUUCUUUGCCUAUUGAUGGAAGUUAUGGCUUCCGGGCGGCAGGUUCUUUGGGCAAAACAUCGUUUCCUGCGUUUUGGAAAGGCUCACUUCUAGGACGAAAUGGUUCUUGAUUGCUGUCGGACUUUUCCUCCCAUCCUAGUUUCAUUCCUGGCAUCUAAAAUCGUUUCUUUUGUGGAUUUGCACUGUAAGGGAGCAUUAACCUCUCUUCAGUUCAGUUCAGUCGCUCAGUCGUGUCCGACUCUUUGCGACCCCAUGAACUGCAGCAUGCCAGGCCUCCCUGUCCAUCACCAACUCCCGGAGUUCACUCAAACUCACGUCCAUCGAGUCGGUGAUGCCAUCCAGCCGUCUCAUCCUCUGUCGUUCCCUUUUAGGUCAAGAUAAUUUGGAAAAAAAAAAAAACAGGGGUGCUGAUGAGGAGCAAGAGCUCUUUGUAGUGAGAAUUUGCCUUCACCUUUGAACUGUGGAAAGUGUUACCUCGACUGACUGGCGGAGAUUCUUUUGGAAGGAAAAAGAAACGUUGCAAAACAAAAAACUUCAGAUUGCUAGGGUCUAUAGGAUUAGGCGGAAAAAAUAGAAUUUCGAUAGAAAUAAAGUUAGUUUAACUAUUCUGUCCAGCAGAUACCUUCCGUAAAGUUAGUUUCUGCUACCGAACCCAUAGACAUUAUAGUUAGUAACAGCAGCUUGUACUAUUGAUAAACAAGAAAUUUUUCCCCCUCCAUCUUAAGCAUUAGUGCUAUUCUAUACCUGUCAAUCCCUGGAGAAGGGACUGGCAACCCACUCCAGUAUUCUUGCCUGGAGAAUUCCACAGAUAGAGGAGCCUGACGGGCUCCAGUCCAUGGGGUCGCCAAGAAUCGGACACGACUGAGCGACUAAUACACAUACCUGUCAAAACAUGCUAAAGAAGUUACAUUUAGAAACAGUACAUCCUUGUUAGAAACCUUAUUUAGAAAAGGAAUAUUUUCAUGAGCAUUCAUUUUUGACAGUUUCUUCUUGUGCAAUACUUUGUAGAGUACUUGCAUGUGCAAGUUACAAGCCUAUAAACAAAGUUGCGGUGGGUGUGUUAUUAUGUAGUCUGUUUUUGGCUGCUGCUGCUGCUAAAUCGCUUCAGUCAUGUCCGACUUUGUGCGACCCCACAGACGGCAGCCUACCAGAAUCCCAGGGACGGGGGAGCCUAGUGGGCUGCCAUCUAUGGGGUCACACAGAGUCGGACAUGACUGAAGUGACUUAGCAGCAGCAGAGGUCAUCAGUGACACUGGCAGCAGUCCUGUGCAUAGAAGAUGGGAGGGAAUGGAAUUGUGAGGUGCUGAAAUGCUGACUAGAGAGAAUUGUCUGGAAGAUGUUAAUUAUAAAUGGGAACAGAUUAACAGGGCCAUACUGACAGGGAAAGUUUUGUGGUCAAGGAGGGCUUACCCCCUUUUAUUCUUUUUAAGUUGAGUGAUCCUUAUGGUAUGUUUGAUACUGAUGGGCCUGAUCCCUAAGGAAUGGAGAGAAAACAUGUAAGAUUUUUGUCACCUUACGUUGAUAUUCUCCAUUUUAAAAAGCAAUCCACAGCUGGUUGGGGUUGGGUUAGAAGUUUUCUCGACCCCACCCUCUUCAGAGAACAUUUGUAAUUUUCUUUU
ensembl:lncRNA